rnacentral:lncRNA from 7 species
CGUCUCACUCGCGCUGUCCUAGUCUCCUGGUCGCGCGGCGCUUAUCAAUGACUGGUGGGGCCGCCCUGGCGGAAGCCUCCUCCCCGCGGACUUCGUGUAAAAGAAGCCGAGAUCCUUCGCAUGGCUGACCUCGUCGCGCCGCCCAUUUCGGUCGGGCCGCUGCGACUCUGCCUCAGAGUAUUUAGCCCUGAGUCGUCUACGCCGUGCGCCCUAAUCUAAUCCCGCGUCCACGUUGUACGACUCCGCCGCGUAGCUAGUUUCCACCGCCGCUGUUGCCAUUGCGAACUCGUCCGAGCCGCCGCCGCCAUCGUGGAUUCGCAUUCCGGUCGCCGGUUUCGCCUCUGUCGGUGGUCAGGGAGCUUCGCCUCGAUACGUGGGUGGUGUCCGUGGCAUCGUCGCACAGCUAGGAGCUCUAGCCGCGGGCAAUUUCGCGCCGGUGUUGGUCCUGCGUGGUGGAUCCGCCUUGUGCCGCGAGUGGUGCUCCUCUGCGCGUCAUCCGUGGUGAGUCUGCCCCCACUCUAUUCGCCCUAAUCUCCGCUGCGUAUAACAUUCUUCGGAUCGGAUUUUGGGGUGCUGC